UACGUAGGGGGCAAGCGUUGUCCGGAAUCAUUGGGCGUAAAGAGCGUGUAGGCGGCUCGGUAAGUCCGCUGUGAAAGUCGGGGGCUCAACCCUCGAAUGCCGGUGGAUACUGUCGAGCUAGAGUGCGGAAGAGGCGAGUGGAAUUCCUGGUGUAGCGGUGAAAUGCGCAGAUAUCAGGAGGAACACCAAUGGCGAAGGCAGCUCGCUGGGACGGUACUGACGCUGAGACGCGAAAGCGUGGGGAGCAAACAGG
rnacentral:rRNA from 1 species